rnacentral:rRNA from 1 species
UGGGGAAUCUUGCGCAAUGGGCGAAAGCCUGACGCAGCAACGCCGCGUGCGGGAUGACGGCCUUCGUGGUUGUAAACCGCUUUCAGCAGGGACGAAAAUGACGGUACCUGCAGAAGAAGCCCCGGCUAACUACGUGCCAGCAGCCGCGGUAAUACGUAGGGGGCAAGCGUUGUCCGGAUUCAUUGGGCGUAAAGAGCUCGUAGGCGGUUCAGUAAGUCGGGUGUGAAAGCUCCGAGCUCAACUCGGAGAGGCCACCCGAUACUGCUGUGACUUGAGUCCAGUAGAGGAGCGUGGAAUUCCUGGUGUAGCGGUGAAAUGCGCAGAUAUCAGGAGGAACACCAGCAGCGAAGGCGGCGCUCUGGGCUGGAACUGACGCUGAGGAGCGAAAGCGUGGGUAGCAAACA